rnacentral:lncRNA from 1 species
UGUGUGUGUGUGGGGGGGGGUAGCCAUCCAUGGGAUGGUGUGUAUCAAAUAUGAAGUGAAGUGCCGACGUCCAGAGGUACAGCGGGCACACGCGACGCAUUCCAUACCGUUGUUUCGCCAGCGGCAGGCUGCUGGUUCCCCCGUGUUUCCGUGGCGGCUAAUGCUAAAAUACUAAGUUCCUAUUGAAAGCAAGUAGUCUGGAGUAGUAGUGGUGAUAAGUAAGGCUCGUUGGUAAAGAAGCUGAGUGCAUGCGUCUAGGUGGCUAGCUUAGCUGCUGCGGCGCGAAACCGGGACCCCGCGAACUCACCUAAUCGCUCAGCAAUGCAAGCCACGCCAGAGCCGCGCGCGCAGGGGGAAGCACACACAGGAAAUGGGCGAGCGGCAGUAAGGCGUGGCGGACUCAAACGGCAAACAGGCGGCACAGACAUACAAGCAAACGUGCAAUGCGAGUAGUAGUGAGAGCCAAAGUAAAAAACGUAAAAAACGGCACGACGACGCGAACAAGCAUAAAAGCAAGGGCAGCCCAAAAACGCAAUGGGGUCCACACGAUGCCCGGAGCACACGCACACACACUCACGCAGACACACACGCAAAGCCCCGACAACCAACAACGGCGGGGGAGGAAAGGUUAGGGGGCGCGGCGGGGCUCGGAUGAGCUCCCACCACCGCGCCAACCCACGAGGCAACUCCCAGAUGCACUCGUGAGCGGACACAGCGGCGAGGGAUCAAGGGGGCCCCGCGGCCAACAAACACGGGCAUGCCACCAUCGUCGCAAAGCACUGUAAGCUAAAAAACGGGUGCGAGCGGUCAGUGAGUGAUGGUAAAAGGUGAGGAGGUGAUAGGAAGUAGUAGGUGAAUUAAGGUAUAAGGCAAACGGAGCGCUGGCUGUCCUAUACGCAUGAGUUUGGCUGACUUCGAGGACACGGCGCAAUCUAAGGAUGUGUCGUUUGCCCAAACCCGGCUGCAAUGGCGUAGACCGAUGACACGUACGAAGCUCAGACGACGUGGUAGUCAGCGGCGCUGCAGUGGGUCGAGUGAACCCAAAGGCUGCAUGCGGGGCGGUGUGGCGGUCAAGCCUGACGCCCCACAGCCAAUGGGAACCGCCACCCCAGCCGCCGUAAGCCGGCAGCUACUUAGCGGGUGGUCGACGAGAGCCCGGGGGCGUCGCGUACCCCUCGGGUGAGCAAGGGGUGAGCGCGGGCCCGUGAACUCCCGAACCCUCCCUUGCAUCCGCGCCCGAUAUUAGCGCCACUGUAACCGAGCCGCUACGCUCCCAGUGCUCUCCCAGGGGCCACGACAAUAGAGCACUGAGCAUUGACCGGCAAAGCGGUAAUGUGGGGCGCUGCCCAGGCGUAUAAUGCGACGAAGCCAGCGGCCCAAACGGGGGGGUAGCCAUCCAUGGGAUGGUGUGUAUCAAAUAUGAAGUGAAGUGCCGACGUCCAGAGGUACAGCGGGCACACGCGACGCAUUCCAUACCGUUGUUUCGCCAGCGGCAGGCUGCUGGUUCCCCCGUGUUUCCGUGGCGGCUAAUGCUAAAAUACUAAGUUCCUAUUGAAAGCAAGUAGUCUGGAGUAGUAGUGGUGAUAAGUAAGGCUCGUUGGUAAAGAAGCUGAGUGCAUGCGUCUAGGUGGCUAGCUUAGCUGCUGCGGCGCGAAACCGGGACCCCGCGAACUCACCUAAUCGCUCAGCAAUGCAAGCCACGCCAGAGCCGCGCGCGCAGGGGGAAGCACACACAGGAAAUGGGCGAGCGGCAGUAAGGCGUGGCGGACUCAAACGGCAAACAGGCGGCACAGACAUACAAGCAAACGUGCAAUGCGAGUAGUAGUGAGAGCCAAAGUAAAAAACGUAAAAAAACGGCACGACGACGCGAACAAGCAUAAAAGCAAGGGCAGCCCAAAAACGCAAUGGGGUCCACACGAUGCCCGGAGCACACGCACACACACUCACGCAGACACACACGCAAAGCCCCGACAACCAACAACGGCGGGGGAGGGGGUGAGGGGUGAGGUGUGGGGGUGAGAGGGAAGGGAGGAACUAUGGUGUUGGGUUGCAGGGAAGGGCGGCGCAUGCGGCCGACAUGCCAGUACCACUGGGGCACUGCGGCACACACACACACAUGCACACCAUGGCCGGCCCUCGCGGCCGCCCCCUCACCGCAACACCACUGCCUCCCGCACGACCCGCCGCUCCGCUCCACCCCGCACCAGGCCCACGUGCCCCAGGCCCCC